CACAGUCAUCUCAUCUGGAGCCAGGGGCCAUGGAACAUUUAUUCUUAAUACUCACCAACAUGAAGGUCUCUGACUGAGCUCCCCGUCAAGACUCUUUGAGAUGCAUCUAAAAAUCACUGGGUGAGGAAAAGGGGAGAGAAAGAGAACACAAAGAAUAAAUAUGUAGAGCAGAAGGAUCCUCUGAAGGCUUGAACGUGUCUGCUCUGUGCCCAGGUCAGCACACCUCACUCAUUCUUUUCUGCUG
rnacentral:lncRNA from 1 species